rnacentral:rRNA from 1 species
GCUGGCGGCGUGCUUACCAUGCAAGUCGAACGAGAAUUUGGCGGACUGAACUUUCGGGAGAGGGAAGCUGAAGGGAAGUGGCGAACGGGUGAGUAACACGUGAGCAACCUGCCUUACACAAAGGGAUAGCCACUGGAAACGGUGAUUAAUACCAUAUGAGACCACAAACUCGCAUGAGAAAGGGGUUAAAGAAAUUCGGUGUAAGAUGGGCUCGCGUCUGAUUAGCUAGUUGGAAGGGUAAAGGCCUACCAUGGCGACGAUCUGUAGCUGGUCUGAGAGGAUGAUCAGCCACACCGGGACUGAGACACGGCCCGGACUCCUACGGGAGGCAGCAGUGGGGAAUAUUGGACAAUGGGGGCAACCCUGAUCCAGCCAUGCCGCGUGUGUGAAGAAGGCCUUUUGGUUGUAAAGCACUUUAAGCAGUGAAGAAGACUCCGUGGUUAAUACCCACGGACGAUGACAUUAGCUGCAGAAUAAGCACCGGCUAACUCUGGGCCAGCAGCCGCGGUAAU